rnacentral:lncRNA from 1 species
GGGUGGGAGGCUGUGCCCCUCUGGGAGGCACAGGCUGGCACGACCUGCUCCUUGGACUUCCAGGGCUGGGUUCUGGGAGGGGGGAUGGGAGGGGCCGAGGAAAGCUGGCUGGAUUCGGGGCCCUUGGGGGGCCGAGCCGGGGUCGCCACCCAGAAGCAUCUCGCCUCUGCUGCCCUGACUGUAAUUCGGAGGGCUGCCCUGUGGUCCAAAUGCACCACCCCCCACCUGGCACCCUGCAUUGUGGAGCUUAGUGGCCCCAGUCAGCUUUCAUCUGCUUCCUUCUCCCCCUGAGCUCCUUCCAGAGGCCCCAGAGGAGCCUGUGCAUUGGGGCAUGUUACUUCCCGCAGACCUCAGUGGGCCUCUGCAUGUCCCAUGAUCCCACCCUCCCUGGAGGACCGAGAGGAACUUCAGGGAGACAGAGAGGGAGCCACAGGCUUCCUUGAUUGAAGCCAGAGUGAGCCAGGCUUUUCCUAGCCCCAAGAGAACCCCCCAGAUACAAAACUCAGGCCUCCCCCAGUGAGACUCCACUGUAUGUCCCAAGAAGAGGAUACCCAGGUCACCCCAAAGCCUGACAUAAUCAGUACCCUCAACCUCUAUCUCCCAACUGAAAAAAAAGUUCUCCCCAGCAAUAAGACUGAUGGAGGACUGGCUUUUAAGUCCCCUCCCACCUCUGCAGGAAGAAAGCAUAAAGCUAUGUAAUACAGAGAGCGUGCUGAGGUUAAAAUGAGCCGCCAGUGAGUGAGGAUGCAAGUGGAUGUGGUAGGAUUGGGAAGGCCGGGAAAGCCCUGGGUGACAAGGAGCUUAGGGCCAUCUACCCCAGCAGUUCUCAGCCUGACCACACCUUAGGGGAAAAAAAUACUCAUGCCAGGCCAUAUUCCUGGAAUCGAAGUGUAUUUAAAUCUCCUCGGGUGAUUCUAAAGGGUUGACAGGAUUAGAAUCGCUGAGCUGAUCUGAGGAGGGCAAGUGUGGCCACACGCAUGCCCCUACUCCCCUCUCCCUGGCCCCAUGCAGACAUCACAAAUCAAUUGAAGAGCCCUUCCUGCCUAUCCCAAAGUGGCCUCUGAUUUCUCACUUUACAUAGCCUCAGAUAGCCACGGCCAGUCAAUCGCAGUUGGCAUACAAGAAUAAAGCCUUUUUGCCCUCUCAAAAUGAACCCCAUCUCUCAUGCUGGACACAUGGCAAAAACUUUGGCCCAGAGAGGAAUAACUUCGCCAGCGUCCUAGCUAUUGUGCCUCAUCCUGGGACCUUCUCAAGAGCCAGGCCACACCUUAUUUGGGUCUUCGUAGCUCCACUCAAAAGCCACCAUACCUCCUUUGUUAAAAGAAUCUUCUCCAGGGAGGCUGAGGCAGGAGAAUGGUGUGAACCCGGGAGUUGGAGCUUGCAGUGAGCUGAGUUUGCACCACUGCACUCCAACCUGGGUGACAGAGUGAGACUCCAUCUCAAAAAUAAAAAUAAAAAAUAAAAAAA